GACGAACGCUGGCGGCAUGCCUAAUACAUGCAAGUCGAGCGGAAACGAUGGGAGCUUGCUCCCAGGCGUCGAGCGGCGGACGGGUGAGUAAUACUUAGGAAUCUGCCCAGUAGUGGGGGAUAGCUCGGGGAAACUCGAAUUAAUACCGCAUACACCCUACGGGGAAAAGGGGGCGCUUGCGCUCUCGCUAUUGGAUGAGCCUAAGUCGGAUUAGCUAGUUGGUGGGGUAAAGGCCUACCAAGGCGACGAUCUGUAGCUGACCUGAGAGGGUGAUCGGCCACAUUGGGACUGAGACACGGCCCAA
rnacentral:rRNA from 1 species